CGACUGACAUAUCCCAAAACACAGAAUUUUUAAGAGUGCCUUAGGAGAGCGGCUCGUGUUUUUCAGAGCUGUGGCUGCCAAUAGUCGGAACUCAGUGCUGGGAAACAAGACUUGCACGUUAUUUUGGCAUACUCGUCCUAACGCGAGACUGAGUAUCCAGACAUACUGCGCCUUGAAGCAUAUAAUUAACAAGACAGUCUAGAAUAUGCAAAUGUAUGUUUUUAAUUAGUUCUGAAAACUUGCAACCACCUGUAUGUAUGUUCAAGUAGGGGAGAGGAGAGAGCACGCACCUACGCCCCAGACAGUCAGUCAUUGUGUCAGAGACACCUACACCAUCGUGUACAUUUAAUGUAUGCUCAGCAAUCAGCUGAUUUCAAAUUACAAAACGUGUCCGGUUUGCGCUGCCAGUCUUGUUCCAGUUCUUCAACAGAAAAACAGAACAAAUCAAAACAGAGCCAUGUCAAAACGAGACUCGGGAGGUCAUGAGACACAUUAGCAAGCUUGACAAAAUUAACCCCUGCAGGUAACGAGCAACACAGGUUAAAAUUAAAUGUGUCCAAAAAGUGGAUGGAGUGGGAAGGAAAAGAAAUCAAUAAACGGAGCACUGGAUUAUGCCCUUCAGAUGUGAUUUACAAAUCCAGAGUAACUCUCAUCAGCAGGAUCCUGAGCGUGACCUGAGCACAUUCUGCUAGAAGAAGGCUGCGGGAGGGGGAAAGAGUUGUGUCCAUCCAGCCGGGACUUACGGUGAGGGCGGCAGGAACACCGUCAGCGACGGUUCCCACUUCUUCGCUGGAAACUACGGCAAACGCGUUUGUUGUGGGGCCAUUCACCGAAACAGCUAAUACAAACAAUUGUGCAAGCUGAGCUGGGACCUCGUGUCUUCACUCCUCCUCCCGCUUACCGUUUUGCGGUCGGAAAGCCGAAAUCGGUGGGCAGGCAGCCUGCGAGCCGCCCGGGGCAGAGCCAGCCCCUGCCAGCCACGCACACUGUACUUAGCAAACGAUGAACGUGUCGGGGAAGUUUAUGAGUUAUUCAUGGGCCAUUUUGCAAACAGAACGAGCUGAUCAAUAAUUAACCGGAGGCAGCAGCGGGUGCGUGGCCUGGACCGGUACGUGGCUCGGUGGCCACGAGCUGCUCACCCGGCCACCCUGGGCUUCCCUGUCCCGGGGAGCGCUCGACCUCAACCCCCCCAAUUCCUUCAAGGAUGUGUGUCCCCUCCCUGGGGCGAUGCUUUCUGAGUUUUUCUACCUGCAACGGCAGAAGCUCCCCCCAGCCCCGAGCAGAGCAAAUCUUCAGGUAGAGCGUUUUCCCGCAGAGCGUUUCGGAGGCUCCUUCCAGCAAACCUCGCGCAAUCAGCGGGACUCCAACGUGCCCACGGAUGCUCCUCACCGGAGGCAGAGGACGGGGAGCCUCCGUGCAAGCCACGGUGUCCUCGGGCGCUCGGGUGGACGACUGGCAGCAGAGCUCCUUUCCAGAAACAGGCUGUUCUCCGUGCGAUGGAGGUUGCGCUAUUUAAUAUUCUAACAGAAGGCAACAUAAUUACAGCUUAAUCUAAUUAAUGAAUCCUGGUAAGAGCCACUCCAAUAUUUCCUGUUCAAUACUUGCACUGCAGUUGGUAUUGGGCGCUCGGCACGGAGCGAUGAGUUGGCAAGCCAAGACUGGCCACCCAUGGUAAGGGACACUCCGCACAUGCGGAUGCUGUGGCCAAAUGGGGGAAAAUGCAAAAUAAACAGCAUGGACGGCCAUCUGCCACUUCCGAAGCAGCAGCCAACGCUAACACCCCAUUAGGACACGGACCAAAAGCACAAAUCUGGUGGUUUGGCCACCAGCGAUUUUCAUUUUUCUCCAGAAAAGGGUUCUGGCAUUUGUUAAAAAAGAAAAAAAAAGAAAAAGGAAGAGGCCCAAGGGACUUGAGGACUUGUUUAAAUAAUAGAAAGGCUGCUGCUGCCCGUUUUGUUUAUGUCAUCAAAAAAGGUUACAGCUUUGAACUUACUCACGGGCAACCACAGCGCUGACUUAAAAACGCAGCAGAGCUGCGAUGUUGCUGGUUUGCUCACCUUUCUGGAGCGGAGACUCUCGUGGGAUGACUGCAUCCAAGCAGGCUGUUCGCUCACUCCCCUGUUUCGGAACCAGGGCUGCUGACCUCAGAACUAGCUGAUUAGUUUUUAUUUUUAAUACAGAAAUAGGAGAAGGCAAGAAUCGUAACAUUUCCCUUCCCCAAAACAUUUGAUGUGCUGCAGCCUACUCCUAUGUCUAGGAAAUGCUGCUGGAAAUCCAAUAAAGCACAAACCAGGGGUGAGUGUCACCCGUCCCGGCUGUAACCGAAGCACGUCCUCCUGGUCUGAGGCCUCCUCCAGACACUGGGACUAAUGAAUUGAUUUUUAAAAACAUUUUACUAUGUUUUGUAACAUUAAACCCUAAGGUGAUUCUGUUAUAAUUCUAUAAAUCACAAAUCUUUUCUUAUGAUAGAUUUAAUUUUCUGUUUACUGAGCUAUCCUACGUUUUCCCUGUUCCAAUCUCCAGCCAGUGAGAAACUCCAAGAAAAUGCAUUCAUGCAGUCCCUCUUGUGUUUUACCUUUAUGUCUAAUUAUAUUUUAUAUACGUAGGAUAAAUGUGUGUGAAAUAGCCCAGUGGCAUAGCCAGCUCAGUUUCCACGAGGUAGUGAUUUAUUAAGGGUUAUUUAAUUAACAGAAAAAGCCUCGUUUCUGCCGGCAUAACCCCCGCUUUGCCAGGUCCGGCCAGGUAAGGGUUUUGCCUGCUGCAGUCCUGCGACUGCGAUGAAGCCGGGCCACGGAGAGGGGAAGAAGGUUUCCCCAUACUGUCAUUACGAGAGAAGCAUGUGGAUGUGUAAAUGCCUGAUCUAGACAUGUUGGGAUUGUCGAAUAAUUCCUGUUUAACCACUUCUAACUCGCUGCAUUUCCCCAUCAAAUACCGGAUGGGUCAUUUGAGUACCUUCUCUUGCAUCUGCCUGUCUCUUACUCACGUUGAAACCCAAACCAUUCUCCCUUGCCAGAAUCUUGGAAAAUGAGUAUAAUGAGUAAAUGAGUGUAUGAGUUGAAAUACUGUGUCACACGAGUUUUCUUAGUGUUUAAAAAGAUGUUAUUUCAUUGCUACUCCAGAAAUAAACUUGCAUGACGUUUUCUGCAGGACAUGGAGUGGGUUUGGCCGGCUCGGCUGGGGAGGAGAGCAGGCGCUGCGGUGACUGCUGGGCUGUACGGGAUCUUAGCGUGCGUUUAGGAACUACCCCAAAAUGAACGUCGUCUUGUCCGAAAGGUCGCGCGUAAAAUAGCUCUGCGGUUAAAGCACUACAGGUCCUCUUUCGGUUGCGGCCCCACUACUUCAAAGUCCCACUGUGGGCUUCAGCUGAACUACUCCAGGCUGACACGCUGGGCAGGAUCCGUCCCCGUCCACUCACCAAACCACGUCGGCAAGUCACAUCAGUACGGGGCAGCUGAGCUCGUGAGAAAAUGCCGUAACAGCUUGAAUGGCUCCAUCGCUCCUGCUUCCAACUCAGAAACAAGGGCUCUGCAAAGCUUACUGCAACGCCUUGGCACGGGAGUGUGAACAACCGGGGCUUUCUCGGGGUUGUUAGUGUUAUUACUCUUAUCCUUAUCGUUGCAAUUAUUGAUGUUAGUGUGUCACAGGAGGUUGCUGGAAGGAGUCCACUAUUGCAGCGGGGUUUUCUAGUAGCUUCAUUAAUACUAGUGCUAAUGUGCAGGAGUGAUUUGUGUGAUUGACAGUUCAGGCAACGAAGUUUACCUCGUUUCAGUGUGGGGCUUGAUGGGACAGGGCUCUGGCUCUGGCGACCAGGCAGGUCCCAGCAGUGCCGUCUCCCAAAGCCCCCGAGGACGGCGGUGCCGUGGUCCGCUGCCGGCACCACCGCCGUGCUUCGGAAAGAACUGCUCCAUCACGGGGGACGCCUGCUCUGAAGGUCAUCCCGGUCAGAGGGAACAGACGUUAACCGUUGCUGCUUCUUACGUAUUUUAGAGGAAAGAAAACUCAGUUGAAAAAGCUGAAGGAAUGUCACCGACUGCAUUCUACAUCUGUUACAUCUCAGAAUAAUUUAUUUUAACCUCUGAAGAUACAAGGGAAAAUAUUUGAAGGAGAUGGAGACUUGCCAGUAUUUCCAGUUCAUUAUAAGCAAAGAACUGUUGCUUAUAGCACUUUUUUGGAGCAGAGAGUAGUCUGGUUUUAAAUCCCUCAAGCAAUGAGGAAUCACGUACUCGCCAAUGGAAAUUGUUCUUCAGUAAAGAAUUUACUAAUUAAAAAAGUUUAAUUUUUAAAUUCAGCCUACAUUUCCUCCCUUUCCAUAAACGUUCUGUCUGCUUUCGACGGGCAUUGCUGGGUCCCUGCUAACCUCAGCUGGGGUUCACCCGAACGUCUUGCCUGGUCUCGGCACACAGGCUCACGCAGCGGGGCCGGCUCCCCCCAGGGAAGUAAAAACUCUGGGCUUGGCUGUGCUCGGAGCUGGGGGACUGCGGGCAGCGGGGCAGGGGUAGCUGCAACUGUAAUUGUCUCCAGAGAUGCUAAAACUCUCUAAACGUUGCGGUCAAGAGGCAGAGGUGAGGCCAAAGACGAGUGAUGGCCCGGUGAUGGAGCUGCAUUUCGGCCACGUUGGGGACCGGCAGACCGCGUGCCACCCGUCCCCGGUGGGUGCUCCACGCAAGAGGUGGCAGACGUGGCCCCUCUGCAGCCCCCUCCGUGACCAGCCCACGCGGCCCUGGCUCCGCCAACAGCAAAACGCAAAUCGGCUAAAAAUCGCUGUCUUCCAGCUCCGGACUUUGCUCGUUCGGUAGCGCCUCGCGCGGGACCGCGAGCACGGCCCUGUGAACCGCUGCGCACAAAAAGGCAGUUUCUCCCCGUUCCGUUUGGACGUGAGAGGGGAGUAAAGGAUCCGGGGGACAGAGGGACUUGCUCAAGCAGGAUCAUCUCCAGCUGAGCUGUGCGAGAAGAUGCGAGCAGGCUUGAUGACGAGGGGCCAGCAAACUGAAUCAAGAAGACCCAGAGACCUAAAUAGUGAAGCCGUUUUGCUUGCAGAUGACACCGUAUAAGCAGAUAUGUAUGAGUGUUACCAAGAUUAAAGUUUAAUUAAAUUCCUGCAA